UUUAACUGUAGAUUUUUUUGG
rnacentral:piRNA from 1 species